rnacentral:rRNA from 1 species
UACGGAGGGAGCUAGCGUUGUUCGGAAUUACUGGGCGUAAAGCGCGCGUAGGCGGCUUUGUAAGUUAGAGGUGAAAGCCCGGAGCUCAACUCCGGAACUGCCUUUAAGACUGCAUCGCUUGAAUCCAGGAGAGGUGAGUGGAAUUCCGAGUGUAGAGGUGAAAUUCGUAGAUAUUCGCAAGAACACCAGUGGCGAAGGCGGCUCACUGGCCCGAUACUGACGCUGAGGCACGAAAGCGUGGGGAGCGAACCGG